UGGGUGAACGCGGCUCGGUGGGAGUGAGCGGCGCGCUCGCCAUGAAGCACCUCGCGCCCAGCUCCGCGCCUACGGGCGGCGCGCUCGCUACACGCCCGCCGCAUCAGUUCUCCGGUUUCAAGAAACUGAUGCUCGGCGUGUACGCUCCGAUAGUGUUGCUGAUCAUCGUCGCCAUGAUCUACAUUGUUGCGCGCGCGCCCUCGGGGAAUCCUACACAUCCAUACUCGGAGCGUAACGACGAUAUUCCAGACUUUAAGUACUAAAAUCACCAAUACUGAUUCAGUACUAUUGAUGACUGCAAAA